AAGGACAUUCUUCAUAUUUCUACAGUACGCCAGAGAAGCAGCACAGCCAGGCCACAGCCAACACUGCCAAGAGAUGCAGAUGGUGGCAAUGCCGGUUCUUCUUCGGCAAAUCCACCUACACUAAGGCGCCCAUCACAGGGCUCGGUUACUGUGGCAACGAGGCCACCCAAGAGACGCCGUCUUGAGGCUCCAGCUCCAGCACCAGCAUCACCACCCCAAUGGCGCAUCUCCGCAGUGUCGGCCGUGCCACCACUAGCUCUAUUGGCCAGCCCCCAAAGUGAGGAUCCACAAUCCCCUCAGUUGUCUGACCCAGCCAUCAUCACCGAGGAUGCCCAGCAGGAACGUGACCAGGAGACCUUCACACUCCACCUGCAGCCCAU